CAUCCUGGUAGUACAGAGUAUAGAAUGAUCCAGGAGCUAGAUGAGCAACAGAAACUCAAGUUUUAUACAGGGUUCUGAUGUUUCUCUCAGCAUUUAAAGGAAGGUUAGUAGUAGGUAACAACAGAUGCUACUUCUGAAGGAUUAUUUGCAUGUGUUAAUGACUGGAAGACAAACUAUACAAUUACAGUGUGUGUUUACACUAUAGAUAGCCAACUAGUGUAGAAUGCACAAGUUAUGAUUGGGACAAGUAGAAUAAAAGUUAGGGAUAAAAUGCUGUGUCAAAAUGUCUUGUUGUUUACAUUGAAUAAAUAAGGUUGGGGUAA